rnacentral:rRNA from 1 species
CAGUCGCCGCGGUAAAACAGAGGGUGCAAGCGUUAAUCGGAAUUACUGGGCGUAAAGCGCGCGUAGGUGGUUUGUUAAGUUGGAUGUGAAAUCCCCGGGCUCAACCUGGGAACUGCACCCAAAACUGGCAAGCUAGAGUAUGGUAGAGGGUGGUGGAAUUUCCUGUGUAGCGGUGAAAUGCGUAGAUAUAGGAAGGAACACCAGUGGCGAAGGCGACCACCUGGACUGAUACUGACACUGAGGUGCGAAAGCGUGGGGAGCAAACAGGAUUAGAUACCCGUGUAGUCCCUGUCUCUUAUAC